UACGGAGGGGGCUAGCGUUGUUCGGAAUUACUGGGCGUAAAGCGCGCGUAGGCGGACCUGCAAGUCGGGGGUGAAAGCCCGGGGCUCAACCCCGGAAUUGCCUUUAAGACUGCAUCGCUUGAAUCCAGGAGAGGUGAGUGGAAUUCCGAGUGUAGAGGUGAAAUUCGUAGAUAUUCGGAAGAACACCAGUGGCGAAGGCGGCUCACUGGACUGGUAUUGACGCUGAGGUGCGAAAGCGUGGGGAGCAAACAGG
rnacentral:rRNA from 1 species